UACGGGAGGCAGCAGGGGGAAUAUUGCACAAUGGGCGCAAGCCUGAUGCAGCCAUGCCGCGUGUAUGAAGAAGGCCUUCGGGUUGUAAAGUACUUUCAGUCGUGAGGAAGGUGUUAAGGUUAAUAACCUUAGCAAUUGACGUUAGCGACAGAAGAAGCACCGGCUAACUCCGUGCCAGCAGCCGCGGUAAUACGGAGGGUGCGAGCGUUAAUCGGAAUUACUGGGCGUAAAGGGCACGCAGGCGGUUAAUUAAGUUGGAUGUGAAAUCCCCGGGCUUAACCUGGGAAUGGCAUUCAAGACUGGUUAGCUAGAGUCUUGUAGAGGGGGUAGAAUUCCAUGUGUAGCGGUGAAAUGCGUAGAGAUGUGGAGGAAUACCGGUGGCGAAGGCGGCCCCUGGGACAAAGACUGACGCUCAUGUGCGAAAGCGUGGGGAGCAAACAGGGAUUAGAUA
rnacentral:rRNA from 1 species